rnacentral:rRNA from 1 species
ACUAGUUGUUGGUGGAGUAAAAUCCAUGAGUAACGUAGCUAACGCGUGAAGUUGACCGCCUGGGGAGUACGGUCGCAAGAUUAAAACUCAAAUGAAUUGACGGGGGCCCGCACAAGCGGUGGAUUAUGUGGAUUAAUUCGAUGCAACGCGAAAAACCUUACCUGGCCUUGACAUGUACGGAACUUUCUAGAGAUAGAUUGGUGCCUUCGGGAACCGUAACACAGGUGCUGCAUGGCUGUCGUCAGCUCGUGUCGUGAGAUGUUGGGUUAAGUCCCGCAACGAGCGCAACCCUUGCCAAUAAUUGCCAUCAUUUAGUUGGGCACUUUAUUGGGACUGCCGGUGACAAACCGGAGGAAGGUGGGGAUGACGUCAAGUCCUCAUGGCCCUUAUGGCCAGGGCUUCACACGUAAUACAAUGGUCGGUACAGAGGGUCGCCAACCCGCGAGGGGGAGCAAAUCCCAGAAAGCCGAUCGUAGUCCGGAUUGUUCUCUGCAACUCGAGAGCAUGAAGUCGGAAUCGCUAGUAAUCGCGGAUCAGAAUGUCGCGGUGAAUACGUUCCCGGGCCUUGUACACACCGCCCGUCACACCAUGGGAGUGGGUUUUACCAGAAGUAGGUAGUCUAACCUUCGGGGGGACGCUUACCACGGUAGUAUUCAUGACUGGGGUGAAGUCGUAACAAGGUAACCGUAAUCU